rnacentral:lncRNA from 1 species
GCCGGGCUCACAGUAUCUGUCACACCUCCGGUCCCUCCUGGACCUCUCCAUGCAACCCAGCUGCCUCCUGGGCCCAUCCCCUUGGGGAAGAGGAAGGCAGGGCAGGAGAGGCGGCUAGAUCCCAGGCCCACCACCUGCCAGGCGGCAGCUCCAACACGGUCCAGUCCCUUCUGUCCUCCUCAAAAGGUGUGGAGAUAACGUAGCUCUGUAAUAGAUUCUAUAUAGGAUAUGCGUAUUGCUAAUAGUCAGGCUUAGGGAUAAAGGUGCAGACAUCUCAUAAAUACUGAGUGGCUCGUCUCUCUCUACAGGGUCUGGAUGAGUCAGGGUCACACUCACAGGACAGGACAACCCCGGAUUCUAGAAUUAGUCAUCUUGUAAACAAAGGAGGGAAGGGUCCGGCUUUCUUAAUUGGUUUCCUUGGGAAAAAUGAUCAAAGGAUGCUAAGGCACUCUGGAAGGCCCCUCUGAGCCCGGGCCGCCGCCCCCGCCCCACGGUACAUUCAGGACGUGGAGGGAGCACACAGCAGGUCCGCUCAGCAGCCACGCACGUCCACAGACACUCCCGACUCACGCCCACCGUGGGACACAUUAGUGCAAAAUGCUCGGCCUGGCCCGCCCGGGGCGCAGGGAGAGCUCAGAACCCAUUCACAUUAAAUUAUUAUUAUUUAAGUUUUAUCUAUAGCUCUUGCCUUCCUUACCCAGAACAAAACAGACGGCGAUUACAAACGAGUGAGGAAGGGGCACGGGACAUUGUGCGGGCCUGAACAGCAGUCAGGCGUCCUCUGUGCAGCCACCACCUCCGGCAGCAGCCAGCGGCUCCCUCCCUGUCCUGGCCAAGGGUGGGGGGGCACCCACUUUGGAGUGGAGGGCAGAGAGCAACGUAUUUUUCUGGAGGGCAGGCAUGUGCUGGGCCUGGCUGGAGGCAGCCCAGGAGGCUGAGUGCUGUCUGUAGAGGCGGCCCCACGGGAGGUCUCCUAGGGCCUCGCCACAGGGGUGGGCUUCGGGGCAGAAAGGAGCCGCCCAGUGGGAAUGCGUC